UACGGGGGGGGCAAGCGUUGUUCGGAAUUACUGGGCGUAAAGGGCUCGUAGGCGGCCAACUAAGUCAGACGUGAAAUCCCUCAGCUUAACUGGGGAACUGCGUCUGAUACUGGAUGGCUUGAGAUUGGGAGAGGGAUGCGGAAUUCCGGGUGUAGCGGUGGAAUGCGUAGAGAUCCGGAAGAACACCGGUGGCGAAGGCGGCCUGCUGGGCAGUGACUGUAAUGGUCAAUAGCUGACGCUGAGGCGCGACAGCGUGGGGAGCAAACAGG
rnacentral:rRNA from 1 species